CCUACGGGAGGCAGCAGUGAGGAAUAUUGGUCAAUGGGCUUACGCCUGAACCAGCCAAGUCGCGUGAGGGAAGACUGCCCUAUGGGUUGUAAACCUCUUUUGUCAGGGAGCAACGCCGGCUACGUGUAGCCUGACUGAGAGUACCUGAAGAAAAAGCAUCGGCUAACUCCGUGCCAGCAGCCGCGGUAAUACGGAGGACGCGAGCGUUAUACGGAUUUAUUGGGUUUAAAGGGUGCGUAGGCGGAAUGCCAAGUCAGCGGUAAAAUCGCGGGGCUCAACCUCGCUCCGCCGUUGAAACUGGCGUUCUUGAGUGGGCGAGAAGUAUGCGGAAUGCGUGGUGUAGCGGUGAAAUGCAUAGAUAUCACGCAGAACUCCGAUUGCGAAGGCAGCAUACCGGCGCCCAACUGACGCUGAAGCACGAAAGCGUGGGUAUCGAACAGGAUUAGAUACCCCUGUAGUC
rnacentral:rRNA from 1 species